CGAGGCAUGCUGGGUUGAGGUCCUUGGCCGCCAUCUUGGUUGUUCUCCGAGACGAUGUGGUGGGAGGUUCUACCGCCAUUUGCCAUAAUGAUUGGCUGUAUUACAGUCACGGGGAUAGGGAUGAAGACAGUAGACAAGUUAUUUCACAAAGGCAAGCCUAGAAGGUAUAAUGUGGAUGAAUUUGCCAAGAGGAUGAUGGAGAGAGAUAAGGCUAUAACUGGAAGUGACUAUGUUCAGAAGGGACUAUGAUGUACGGUGCAAGAUGUUGGUGAAGGAAUGUUUAAAACCUGGAGUCUACUGCUUAUACAGAACAUAUUUGUAAAUAAACUUGUAAUUGUACUGA